AGUGAACGCUGGCGGCAGGCCUAACACAUGCAAGUCGAGCGGCAGCGCGGGGGCAACCCUGGCGGCGAGCGGCGGACGGGUGAGGAAUUCGUCGGAAUCUGCCUUUUUGUGGGGGAUAACGUAGGGAAACUUACGCUAAUACCGCAUACGUCCUACGGGAGAAAGUGGGGGACCGCAAGGCCUCACGCAGAAAGAUGAGCCGACGACCGAUUAGCUAGUUGGUGGGGUAAAGGCCCACCAAGGCGACGAUCGGUAGCUGGUCUGAGAGGAUGAUCAGCCACAGUGGAACUGAGACACGGCCCAGACUCCUACGGGAGGCAGCAGUGGGGAAUAUUGGACAAUGGGCGCAAGCCUGAUCCAGCCAUGCCGCGUGUGUGAAGAAGGCCUUCGGGUUGUAAAGCACUUUUGUCCGGAAAGAAAUCCCUGGAGCUAAUACCUUCGGGUGAUGACGGUACCGGAAGAAUAAGCACCGGCUAACUUCGUG
rnacentral:rRNA from 1 species